rnacentral:rRNA from 1 species
CCUACGGGGGGCAGCAGUGGGGAAUAUUGCACAAUGGGGGGAACCCUGAUGCAGCGACGCCGCGUGAGUGAAGAAGUAUUUCGGUAUGUAAAGCUCUAUCAGCAGGGAAGAAAAUGACGGUACCUGACUAAGAAGCCCCGGCUAACUACGUGCCAGCAGCCGCGGUAAUACGUAGGGGGCAAGCGUUAUCCGGAUUUACUGGGUGUAAAGGGAGCGUAGACGGUUAUGCAAGUCUGAAGUGAAAGCCCAAGGCUCAACCAUGGGACUGCUUUGGAAACUGUAAAACUGGAGUGCAGGAGAGGUAAGCGGAAUUCCUAGUGUAGCGGUGAAAUGCGUAGAUAUUAGGAGGAACACCAGUGGCGAAGGCGGCUUACUGGACUGUAACUGACGUUGAGGCUCGAAGGCGUGGGGAGCAAACAGGAUUAGAUACCCUAGUAG